rnacentral:rRNA from 1 species
UACGAAGGUCCCAAGCGUUAUCCGGAUUUAUUGGGUUUAAAGGGUGCGUAGGCGGGCUAUUAAGUCAGUGGUGAAAGCCCCCAGCUUAACUUGGGAACUGCCAUUGAUACUGAUGGUCUUGAGUACAUUUGAGGUGGGCGGAAUGUGUCAUGUAGCGGUGAAAUGCUUAGAUAUGACACAGAACACCGAUUGCGAAGGCAGCUCACUAAACUGUAAACUGACGCUGAGGCACGGAAAGCGUGGGGAGCAAACAGG